rnacentral:rRNA from 1 species
CCUACGGGAGGCAGCAGUGGGGAAUAUUGCACAAUGGACGAAAGUUUGAUGCAGCGACGCCGCGUGGAGGGUGUAGGCCUUCGGGUUGUGAACUCCUUUUUCUCGCGAAAAAGGCACAGUUUUGGCUGUGUUGAUGGUAGUGGGGGAAGAAGCGCCGGCUAACUACGUGCCAGCAGCCGCGGUAAUACGUAGGGCGCGAGCGUUGUCCGGAUUUAUUGGGCGUAAAGAGCUCGUAGGUGGUUCGUCGCGUCUGUCGUGAAAGCCAGCAGCUUAACUGUUGGUCUGCGGUGGGUACGGGCGGGCUUGAGUGCGGUAGGGGUGACUGGAAUUCCUGGUGUAGCGGUGGAAUGCGCAGAUAUCAGGAGGAACACCGAUGGCGAAGGCAGGUCACUGGGCCGUUACUGACACUGAGGAGCGAAAGCGUGGGGAGCGAACAGGAUUAGAUACCCUGGUAGUC